CACCAACUAGUAUCCUUAUUGUCAAGAAUUAAUUUUAUCAACGACUUAUAAGUUUGGUAUGCAUAUUUCUUAUGAUGUUGAACCUUGACUUUGAGACACAUGAUGGCUUUGUUUUAUUUUUUUUGUUGAAUUUUCUAUCCUGUAAGUUUCAACUCCACUAGUAUCAUGUUUCCAUAGAUGAUGCUGUCUUAGAUGUUGGAGUCGUGACUCAUUCUUUAUACUGAUGUUUCUGUGUGGAAUUUUCCCAGUUGUCCUGUUCAUUGUUUGAUGUUUCUGUGUGUGUUGUAGCUGAAUUUGGUUGUAGCUUCUGCAAGCUUUCUUCACUUUCUUCCCUCCACUAUCUGUUAACAAGUUUGAUCUUUACAAUUCAGUUAUAAGAACAAACAAUAUGACCAAAGGUUGACAGCUUUGCUUCAUCCUUUUUACAUUUCAGUAUGUGGAUGAAAGCAAAUAUGUACUGAUGUACCUAAAUGGAUUUACAAAAAUAUCUUUGAAAUGUUUUGUCAUACAGAUAUGACAUCUAGUAUAAUUUUUUCCAACUUGAUUGUUGCAUUAUCAUAUAAUGAGAUUAGGUGCACAGCUUGCAGUCAGUUUAUUGUUUUUGCUAAAGAUCAUUGCUAGUAGGCCGACAAAAGACAGGUCUAAAAUGAAGCCUAAGAAAACAUGCUUAAGAUGAUAUUUUAAGAUUUUCUAAACAUUGGAUCGUUGCGGAAGGUUGUGAUUGGCACGGCAAGUGUUCUAAAAUGAAGCCAAAGAAAAUGGGGGAGAAAAUAAAGUUCGGCUUGAGGAAUUUAUGCAAUAAAGCAGUUUUAUAUUUGAUUCCUUCUUUAAUUAUAUUGCGUGUGUUCCUAAGCUGCAACCUAUUAAUAAUUUUAGUUUUAUAAUGUUCUUUGCCACUACCUUUCUAUUAUUCAUUCUUUUGCUUUGCAAGUUGUGACAAAAAUUGAUUGACAUCGGAAAGGAGACUAUUUCACUACUGUCGUUCCUAGUGAUAUCCUAAUUAUGAAUUUUAGUUCUUCAAGAUAUCAAACUCUACACCUUCUAUAUGGAGCUAGAUUUGCAAAAGCCAUAUCCAACUCGAGGAAGUGACUUAUUGACAUGGGAGAGAACUUAUUGGUAACCAAGGACUUUGUGAAGAUAGCAAAUUUUGGCCUUGCUCGUGAAGUUCAUUCGAAGCCACCAUUCACAGAAUAGGUUUCAACACGCUGUUUACAAAUCUCAAGUACUCCAGAGUUGAAAUUGAUGAAGUGCGGUUCGAGUGG